rnacentral:lncRNA from 1 species
GCCGACUUUGUCACCGGGAGGCGGAGGCUUCCUUUGCUCCGCUGUCGCCGGCUCUUGUCUCCGGGGCGUGAAGGUUGCUCUGUGCCUUGCGCCGCCGGCUAAGUGGUCUUUUUAUAUCCGUUUUUUAGGUUUAUCUUUUAGUCUCUAGCGAUGUCGGGUUGGUUUGGCCGGUGGAGCUCUCGUCGGAGGAUGAUAGACGCUCCCCGGUGGUAACUGGGUGAUGGUUUGCGCUACGCUUUCUAGUCGGUGGUGGUGUUUUAAUUGUGACGGAUUAGCUCUCCUCUGCGAUUGAUGCUAUCCGAGUUUAGAAUCGCUGUCUUGAGGGUGUUAGCGGUGAAGAUGGUGGAGCUAUUGAGCUUGUGGGUGUACCGGUGGUUAGAUCAUGGGAGAUGGCACCGGGGUCUCGAUUGUUGCGGUUUCCGGCGUGGUUCGAAGCGGUUGAGCGUGAGUGAUGCGCCUCCGUUUUGGGAGUUAGGGUUUCCGUUUUCUUUUGGGCUUUUGGGCCUUUGUUUGUGUGGAGUUGGGUUGUCCCUUGUGGUUUGGGCUGUGUAAUGGUUGGGCUUGGCCCUUAUUUUAAAUAAAAUUUCUGAUGGAAAAAAAAAAUACGUGUAUCUAUGUUUAUAUAAUGGUCUAGUAUGCUUAGAUAGAUUAAAAGAAAAAGUUUUGACUACACUGAUUCAUUGUGUUUAUGUGGUAAAGUAAAAAGGUUUGACUUAGUGGAGUCAAUCUCCAGAAAAAGCAAGUAGAAG